GUCGCCUCCUAAAAGGUAACGGAGGCGCUCAAAGGUUCCCUCAGAAUGGUUGGAAAUCAUUCAUAGAGUGUAAAGGCAUAAGGGAGCUUGACUGCGAGACCUACAAGUCGAGCAGGGUCGAAAGACGGACUUAGUGAUCCGGUGGUUCCGCAUGGAAGGGCCAUCGCUCAACGGAUAAAAGCUACCCCGGGGAUAACAGGCUUAUCUCCCCCAAGAGUUCACAUCGACGGGGAGGUUUGGCACCUCGAUGUCGGCUCAUCGCAUCCUGGGGCUGUAGUCGGUCCCAAGGGUUGGGCUGUUCGCCCAUUAAAGCGGUACGCGAGCUGGGUUCAGAACGUCGUGAGACAGUUCGGUCCCUAUCCGUCGUGGGCGUA
rnacentral:rRNA from 1 species